rnacentral:rRNA from 1 species
UGAGGGAUAUUGGGCAAUGGACGCAAGUCUGACCCAGCGACGCCGCGUGGAGGACGACGGGCUUCGGCUUGUAAACUCCUUUUCCCAGGGACGAGACAAGGACGGUACCUGGGGAAUAAGUCUCGGCUAACUACGUGCCAGCAGCCGCGGUAAAACGUAGGAGGCAAGCGUUAUCCGGAAUUACUGGGCGUAAAGGGCGUCUAGGCGGUAAGGCAAGCGGGAUGUGAAAGCUCCUGGCUCAACUGGGAGAGUGCGUCGCGAACUGCUUAACUAGAGGCCAGGCGAUGGGGGUGGAAUUCCCGGUGGAGUGGUGAAAUGCGUAGAGAUCGGGAGGAACACCAGUGGCGCAAGCGGCCCCCAAGCCUGAACCUGACGCUGAAGCGCGACAGCGUGGGGAGCAAACGG